rnacentral:rRNA from 1 species
AAUCUGCCGAGAAGUGGGGGAUAGCUCGCCGAAAGGCGAAUUAAUACCGCAUGUGGUCAACGAGGACAUCCUCGCGAAACCAAAGCCGGGGCAACCUGGCGCUUCUUGAUGAUCCCGCGGCCUAUCAGCUAGUUGGCGGGGUAAAAGCCCACCAAGGCUAUGACGGGUAGCUGGUCUGAGAGGACGACCAGCCACACUGGAACUGAGACACGGUCCAGACACCUACGGGUGGCAGCAGUCGAGAAUUUUUCUCAAUGGGGGAAACCCUGAAGGAGCGACGCCGCGUGAAG